rnacentral:rRNA from 1 species
GUGUUGAUUACGUCCCUGCUCUUUGUACACACCGCCCGUCGCUCCUACCGAUCGAGUGUUUAGGUGGAUUUGAUGGACGUAAGGAAGUCAAAUAAACCUGAGCACUUAGAGGAAGGAGAAGCCGUGACAAGGUUUCCGUAGGUG